rnacentral:hammerhead_ribozyme from 1 species
GCCCUGCUGAAGAAUCCAAUACGGGGACGAAACACUCGUCCAGGGC